GUCCAGGGAUGGGAAUCGAACCCACAGUGUUCCGCUUACCGGGCAGAUGCCAUGUCCACUAGGCUACCCUAGA